AACUAGAAAAAAAUAUGCUGAAGUUCGCAAUACAGAAAUAAUUAUUAAUAAGAUAGCUUUAAAGCCCUGCUCAGCUUUUGAAUGUUGGGAAUUGACCCAGAGGUGGCUGUAACCUAAGAUGGUUCCUUCAGUAAUGACCAUUUUUUCUUUUUCAAGAUGAUGAUUAUUCCCCACCUUCUAAGAGACAAAGACCAACGAGCCACCACAGCCACCAGUCCCAGAACCCGCCAAUGCUGGGGAACGGAAAAUGAGGGAGUUCAACUCUGGCCCUCACAAUCCAGUGGAGGAGACGAAACUCAUCUGCCUCUGUCCCUCUGGGCACGCCUCAUGCCAGGUGCAUCUGUGGACAGGGGCCAUGCUCCUGGGCUUCCAAAGUUGGAGAAAGCUGCCAGGCUCAGAGCCACCUAAGCUGAAGAUUCCCUUGAGAACAAGUACUGUCCCUAGUUUCCCAGUGCUGGAAUAUAGAAAAUGGAUGGACAAGUAAAUCCCACUCAGCACCCAUAGUCCAGGCAUGGGGACCUCAACACACCUGAGCCCCAGACAUCACCUUUCAUUCUGGACCUACCAUGAAAGACUUCUGAAUCCAGGAAGAGAAACUGACUGGGCAACAUGUUAUUCAAAAACAGGACCUUGCCCUGUCACUAGGAUGGAGUUCAGUGGUCCUAUCAUGGCUCAUUAUAGCCUCAAACUCCCAGGCUCAAGCAAUCCUACCAUGUCAGCCUUCCCAGUAGCUGGGACUACAGCUGGAUCUACCAUGAAAGACUUGUGAAUCCAGGAAGAGAGACUGACUGGGCAACAUGUUAUUCAGGUGGGACCAUCCAGUUGCAGGAAAACAAGCUUAACACGCCCACUGAUUCUACAUUAUGCUCCUACCUCCCGGCAGCCUCUCCAGGCCCAGAACUUUCUCCAGUCAGCCUCUACAGACCAAGCUCAUGACUCUCAAUGGCCUAUUUAGGCCCAUACCCUACGUCACGGCAGCCUCCGCAGAUGAGGCUACUGCCUCACAACAGCCUCCACGGGCACAGCUCCAUCGUUACAAUGGCCUCUUUAGACCCAGCUCCUGCCUCCCAGCCUUCUCUCCAGGCUCUGAACUUUCUCAGGUCUCCCUCUGUUGUCCAAGGCUGGAGUGUAGUAGUGCUA
rnacentral:lncRNA from 1 species